UACGUAGGGCGCGAGCGUUGUCCGGAAUUAUUGGGCGUAAAGAGCUUGUAGGCGGUUGGUCGCGUCUGCUGUGAAAGGCUGGGGCUUAACCCUGGUUUUGCAGUGGGUACGGGCUAACUAGAGUGCAGUAGGGGAGACUGGAAUUCCUGGUGUAGCGGUGGAAUGCGCAGAUAUCAGGAGGAACACCGAUGGCGAAGGCAGGUCUCUGGGCUGUAACUGACGCUGAGAAG
rnacentral:rRNA from 1 species